GCGGUAAUUCAAGCUCCAAUAGCGUAUAUGUAAAUUGUUGCGGUUGAAAAGCUCGUAGUUGGACUUCUGGCGACCGCGUUCGGUCCGCCAAGCGCGUGCACUGUCCGCGGUCGUCGUUUCUGUCGACGUGGCGCGUCGGCCUUAGUUGGUCGGUGCGUCGUCUGUCGGCGAUGUUACUUUGAGGAAAUCAGAGUGCUCAAGGCAAGCGUUCGCUCGUGACUUCACUAGCAUGGAAUAACACAGAUGGGCUCUUUCUCGCACUGUUGGUCUGCGUCAAUUGAGCAACGAUCGAUAGAGACGGUCGGGGGCAUUCGUAUUGCGCAGUUAGAGGUGAAAUUCUCCGAUCUGCGCAAGACGCACUAAUGCGAAAGCAGUUGCCAAGGACGUCCUCUUAUGAUCAAGAGCGAAAGUCGGGGGAUCAAAGAUGAUUAGAUACCGUCGUAGUCCCGACCAUAAAUGAUGCCGACUGAGCUUCGGCGACUCGACCUCAGGUCGUACGUCGGCGCUCUUAGAGAAAUUAAAGUCUUUGGGCUCCGGGGGUAGUAUGGUCGCAAGUCUGAAACUUGAAGGAAUUGACGGAAGGGCACCACAAGGCGUGGAUGUUGCGGCUUAAUUUGACUCAACACGGGAAAGCUUACUAGGUUUGGACACCUUUGUGAUGGACAGAUUGAAGCUCUUACCCUACUGCGUGGAUGGUGGUGCAUGGUCGUUCUCAGCCCGUGGGUUGACCUGUCAGGUUUACUCCGGUAACGCGCGAGACCUCGGUCUGCUAAAUAGACGCGGCUGUUCCGGCACCCGCGCUCUUCUUAGAGAGAGACUCGACGAGAGUCGAGGGAAGUCGAGGCAAUAACAGAUCUGUGAUGCCCUUAGUUAUCCUAGGUCGCACGCGCCAUACAAUGUGGCGCACAACGAGUCUCCUUGGCCGACAGGAUUCUGGGCAAUCUGGCAGAGCGCUACGUGACUGGGCUAGACUUUUGUAAUUUUUGGUCUUGAACGAGGAAUGCCUAGUAAUCGCAGGUCAGCAUCCUGCGAUGAUUCGGUCCCUGCCCUUUGUACACACCGCCCGUCGCUCCAUCCGUGGCAUGCGCCGGUGAAGAGGGGGAGGCAGCGUCGGCCGGGUAACACCGGAUCGUACGUGGAACCCCUCUGAACCUUCGCACGUAGAGGAAGGAGAAGUCGUAACAAGGUUUUCGUAGGUGAACCUGCGAAAGGAUCAUUAUCGGCAC
rnacentral:rRNA from 1 species